GCAGGUAGCUAUGUUUAAUUUCCUGACAGAAAAGAAUGAAAAAAAUUAACAAAAAUUUGACUGGUAGUAUAAAUAAAGUUUCUUCCGCAUCAUUUAGUUAUCUGUUACAAUUCUUACUCAAGUUGAAUCUAUCAUACCCAAUAAAGUGUCAACAUGAAUUUCGUUUUUGUUUAUUCCAAAUUAAUCUUGGUGAGCAUUCUAAUUUGUGCAUUCAUGUCUUGCAAAAGUAACUCGGACUGUGGUGAUGGUGAAUUAUGUUUUGGUGCAUUCAGGGGAACAAACGGUAAUUGUGUCCCUGCAUUCUGAGAUAAUCAAGGGAAUUUAGAAGAUGAUUUAAUAAGCUUAGUUAUCUGUGCUUGGAAUUUGUCUGCGAAAAUAAUCGUUCAAUUUUUUGUCUAUGCUAUUGAAAAUUUUGGCAUAAGAAAUAAUUGAAGUAUAUCUUUACAUCUUAAAUGAUUAAAAAACACUUUUAAUGCA